rnacentral:rRNA from 1 species
AGAGUUUGAUCAUGGCUCAGAAUCAACGCUGGCGGCGCGCCUAACACAUGCAAGUCGAACGAGAAAGGGGAGCAAUCCCUGAGUACAGUGGCGUACGGGUGAGUAACACGUGGAUGAUCUACCCUUUAGUGAGGAAUAACUAUGGGAAACCGUAGCUAAUACCGCAUAAGCUCGAGAGAGGAAAGCAGCAAUGCGCUGAAGGAGGAGUCCGCGGCCGAUUAGCUAGUUGGCAGGGUAAAAGCCUACCAAGGCAUAGAUCGGUAGCCGGCCCGAGAAGGCACACGGCCACACUGGCACUGAAACACGGGCCAGACUCCUACGGGAGGCAGCAGUGGGGAAUCUUGCACAAUGGGGGAAACCCUGAUGCAGCGACGCCGCGUGAGCGAUGAAGCCCUUCGGGGUGUAAAGCUCUUUCGGCAGGGAAGAUUAUGACGGUACCUGCAGAAGCAGCUGCGGCUAACUACGUGCCAGCAGCCGCGGUAAUACGUAGGCAGCAAGCGUUGUUCGGAGUUACUGGGCGUAAAGGGUGUGUAGGCGGUUGUUUAAGUUUGGUGUGAAAUCUCCCGGCUCAACUGGGAGGGUGCGCCGAAUACUGAAUGACUAGAGUGCGGGAGAGGAAAGUGGAAUUCCAGGUGUAGCGGUGAAAUGCGUAGAUAUCAGGAGGAACACCGGUGGUGUAGACGGCUUUCUGGACCGUAACUGACGCUGAGACACGAAAGCGUGGGUAGCAAACAGGAUUAGAUACCCUGGUAGUCCACGCCCUAAACGAUGCAUAUUUGGUGUGGGCAGUUCAUUCUGUCCGUGCCGGAGCUAACGCGUUAAAUAU